GGGAGGGGAAACAGGAAGCUGACAUGUCACGGAGCACGGCGAGCCUAUGAGCGGCUGGGCCUCUAACUUGGACCCCCAAAGGCCAGGAGACUCCUAUGCAUCCCUCAAAGCCCAAUUCAAAAGGUGCCUCUUCCAGUUUAAACACUGGACGUCCUCUGUCCAAUUGAGAUCCUAAGGUCAAAAAGAACUGCCAAUAAAUCUUGACCUCUCAUUAGUAGGUUUGUCACGGGAUGUGGUAUCAGGGUAACAAUUCUGCAACAACUGUGUAUUACGGGAAAGAGCAUCAGUGGAUAAAUGCGGUGGCAUUGCUCCAAACCCUGGUUCUU